UUCGAUCCUGGCUCAGGAUGAAUGCUGGCGGCAUGCCUAAUACAUGCAAGUCGAGCGGCAACGAGGGUUCAUCCUAUCUGGAAGUGAUUCGGGAGUAGAAUGAAACCUGUCGGCGAGCGGCGGACGGCUGAGUAACGCGUGGGAACGUACCCAAACUGAGGGAUAACUAGUCGAAAGAUUAGCUAAUACCGCAUGUGAUCUUCGGAUUAAAGCUUUCGGGCGGUUUGGGAAUGGCCUGCGUACGAUUAGAUAGUUGGUGAGGUAAUGGCUCACCAAGUCGACGAUCGUUAGAUGGUUUGAGAGGAUGAUCAUCCAGACUGGGACUGAGACACGGCCCAGACUCCUACGGGAGGCAGCAGUAGGGAAUCUUUCACAAUGGGCGAAAGCCUGAUGGAGCAAUGCCGCGUGCAGGACGAAGGCCUUCGGGUUGUAAACUGCUUUUAUAAGCGAGGAAUAUGACGGUAACUUAUGAAUAAGGAUCGGCUAACUACGUGCCAGCCGCGGC
rnacentral:rRNA from 1 species